rnacentral:piRNA from 1 species
UGUGUCUGCAUGAAUACAUGUCGGAAUG